UACGGAAGGUCCGGGCGUUAUCCGGAUUUAUUGGGUUUAAAGGGAGCGUAGGCCGGUCUUUAAGCGUGCCGUGAAAUUUUGUGGCUCAACCAUGAGAGUGCGGCGCGAACUGGAGACCUUGAGUGCGCGAAGGGUAGGCGGAAUGCGUGGUGUAGCGGUGAAAUGCAUAGAUAUCACGCAGAACUCCGAUCGCGAAGGCAGCCUACCGGCGCGCAACUGACGCUCAUGCACGAAAGCGUGGGUAUCGAACAGG
rnacentral:rRNA from 1 species